AUGGAGGCCAGCGCGAGGGGAGAAGAGCCCACUGGGAAGGAAGACAAGAGAGAGCGGUUGAGGCAGUGGGCUGAUAUGCAGAGUGGACAACAACAUUUUGGAGUGCAGAUUUUGGACAGUUUUGGUGCAGAUUUUGCAGCAGGUUUUUUUUGUGGCAAGUUUGUGGGUAGAGUUGCAGCAGGGCAGCAACAUGACCUUGCAGGUUUUGGGACAAUUUGGUGUAAAUGA